UACAGAGGUCUCGAGCGUUGUUCGGAUUCAUUGGGCGUAAAGGGCGCGUAGGCGGCGGGGUAAGUCUGGUGUGAAAUCUCGGAGCUCAACUCCGAAACUGCAUUGGAAACUACUUUGCUCGAGGGUUGGAGGGGGGACUGGAAUUCUCGGUGUAGCAGUGAAAUGCGUAGAUAUCGAGAGGAACACCAGUGGCGAAGGCGAGUCCCUGGACAACUCCUGACACUGAGGCACGAAAGCUAGGGGAGCAAACAGG
rnacentral:rRNA from 1 species